rnacentral:rRNA from 1 species
AGCGAACGCUGGCGGCAGGCCUAACACAUGCAAGUCGAGCGGAGCGAGGGUGCUUGCACCUUAGCUUAGCGGCGGACGGGUGAGUAAUGCUUAGGAAUCUGCCUAUUAGUGGGGGACAACAUUCCGAAAGGAAUGCUAAUACCGCAUACGCCCUACGGGGGAAAGCAGGGGAUCUUCGGACCUUGCGCUAAUAGAUGAGCAUAAGUCGGGUUAGCUAGUUGGUGGGGUAAAGGCCUACCAAGGCGACGAUCUGUAGCGGGUCUGAGAGGAUGAUCCGCCACACUGGGACUGAGACACGGCCCAGACUCCUACGGGAGGCAGCAGUGGGGAAUAUUGGACGAUGGGCGGAAGCCUGAUCCAGCCAUGCCGCGUGUGUGAAGAAGGCCUUUUGGUUGUAAAGCACUUUAAGCGAGGAGGAGGCUCUUAAGGUUAAUACCCUUGAUGAGUGGACGUUACUCGCAGAAUAAGCACCGGCUAACUCUGUGCCAGCCGCCGCCGUAAUAC